AUGGGAAGAAGUAAAAAGACUGCGAGAAGAGAUCGAGGCGGAUCGGGAUUCUUAGCGCAGAUGAUCACUGUGUUCGUUUUCACUGUUUUAUCGCUCGUCAACACCGGUUCGGCUCAAGAUGUUGUUUUCCUUUCAUCAGGAUCUUAAUGAUUUAAUUCAGCUCUCAGAGUAUCUGAAGAGAAACAAGCCGC
ensembl:lncRNA